AGUGAACGCUGGCGGUAGGCCUAACACAUGCAAGUCGAACGGCAGCACAGUAAAGGCUGGCUCUUACGUGUGGCGAGUGGCGGAGGGGUGGAGAAUACAGCGGACUGUACUUUUUCGGGGGGGAAAGCGUGGGGACACUUGCGCUUAUACCGCAUGACCCCUGCGGGUGAAAGCAGGGGAGCUUCGGCCCUUGCGCGAUUAUGUGAGGCGAUGUCGGAUUAGCUAGUUGGCGGGGUAAAGGCCCACCAAGGCGACGAUCCGUAGCUGGUCUGAGAGGAUGAUCAGCCACACUGGAACUGAGACACGGUCCAGACUCCUACGGGAGGCAGCAGUGGGGAAUAUUGGACAAUGGGCGCAAGCCUGAUCCAGCUAUACCGCGUGGGUGAAGAAGGCCUUCGGGUUGUAAAGCCCUUUUGUUGGGAAAGAAAACCAGCAGGUUAAUACCCCGCUGUUCUGACGGUACCCAAAGAAUAAGCACCGGCUAACUUCGUG
rnacentral:rRNA from 1 species